rnacentral:rRNA from 1 species
GCUUGUCUCAAAGAUUAAGCCAUGCAUGUCUAAGUAUAAACAAAUCUAUACUGUGAAACUGCGAAUGGCUCAUUAUAUCAGUUAUAGUUUAUUUGAUGGUUCUUGCUACUUGGAUAACCGUAGUAAUUCUAGAGCUAAUACAUGCAUCAAACCCCGACUCACGAAGGGGUGUAUUUAUUAGAUGGAAACCAAUGCGGGGCAACCCGGUAUAUGGUGAUUCAUAAUAACUUUCGGAUCGAUCUUCGGAUCGAUGCAUCAUUCAAGUUUCUGCCCUAUCAGCUUUGGAUGGUAGGAUAUGGGCCUACCAUGGCAUUAACGGGUAACGGGGAAUUAGGGUUUGAUUCCGGAGAGGGAGCCUUAGAAACGGCUACCACAUCCAAGGAAGGCAGCAGG